GUCCACGCCGUAAACGAUGGGUACUAGAUAUUGGGGCUUAAGCUUCGGUGUCGUAGCUAACGCGUUAAGUACCCCGCCUGGGGAGUACGGUCGCAAGAUUAAAACUCAAAGGAAUUGACGGGGACCCGCACAAGCGGUGGAGCAUGUGGUUCAAUUCGAUGCAACGCGAAAACCUUACCACCUCUUAACAUCCUGAUUGCGGGGCCCAGAAUGGGCUCUUUCAGUUCGGCUGGAUCAGUGAUAGGUGUUGCAUGGCUGUCGU
rnacentral:rRNA from 1 species